rnacentral:tRNA from 1 species
AGUGCAUUGGAUUUAAGCUCCAAAUAUAAAGUCCAAGACUUUCAUUAGAACCA